rnacentral:rRNA from 1 species
GGCGCGUAAAUUGCCCGAAUCCUGACACAGGGAGGUAGUGACAAGAAAUAACGAUACAGGGCUACAUCUAGUCUUGUAAUUGGAAUGAGUACAAUUUACAUCUCUUAACGAUGAUCAAUUGGAGGGCAAGUCUGGUGCCAGCAGCCGCGGUAAUUCCAGCUCCAAUAGCGUAUAUUAAAGUUGUUGCAGUUAGAACGCUCGUAGUCGGAUUUCGGGGCAGUCCGACCGGUCUGCCGAUGGGUAUGCACUGGCCGGAGUGUCCUUUUUGCCGGAGACCGUGCCUACUCUUAACUGAGCGGGGGCGGGAGACGGCACUUUUACUUUGAAAAAAUCAGAGUGUUUCAAGCAGGCAGCUCGCUCUUGCAUGGAUUAGCAUGGGAUAAUGAAAUAGGACUUUGGUGCUAUUUUGUUGGUUUCGAACACCGAAGUAAUGAUGAGAAGGGACAGUCAGGGGCACUCGUAUUCCGCAGAGAGAGGUGAAAUUCUCAGACCCGCGGAAGACGAACCACUGCGAAAGCAUUUGCCAGGGAUGUUUUCACUGAUCAAGAACGAAAGUUAGGGGAUCGAAGAUGAUCAGAUACCGUCGUAGUCUUAAGCAUAAACCAUGCCGACUAGGGAUUGGAGGAUGUUCACUGAUUGACUCCUUCAGCACCUUACGGGAAACUAAAGUCUUUGGGUUCCGGGGGGAGUAUGGUCGCAAGGCUGAAACUUAAAGGAAUUGACGGAAGGGCACCACCAGGUGUGGAGCCUGCGGCUUAAUUUGACCCAACACGGGGAAACUUACCAGGUCCAGACAUUGUGAGGAUUGACAGAUUGAGAGCUCUUUCUUGAUUCGAUGGGUGGUGGUGCAUGGCCGUUCUUAGUUGGUGGAGUGAUUUGUCUGGUUAAUUCCGUUAAGGAACGAGACCUUAGCCUGCUAAAUAGUGACGCGAACUCUUUGUUGGCGGGCCACUUCUCAGAGGGACAACUUGUCUUCACAG